AUUGAACGCUGGCGGCAGGCCUAACACAUGCAAGUCGAACGAGUGGCGGACGGGUGCGUAAUGUCUGGGAACCUGCCUGAUGGAGGGGGAUAACUACUGGAAACGGUAGCUAAUACCGCAUACCAUCGGAUGUGCCCAGAUGGGAUUAUCUAGUAGGUGGGGUAAAGGCUCACAUAGGCGACGAACCCUAGCUGGUCUGAGAGGAUGGCCAGCCACACUGGAACUGAGACACGGUCCCGACUCCUACGGGAGGCAGCAGUGGGGAAUAUUGCACAAUGGGCGAAAGCCUGAUGCAGCCAUGCUGCGUGUAUGAAGAAGGCCUUCGGGUUGUAAAGUACUUUCAGCGGGGAGGCGUUACCAGAAGAAGAAGCACCGGCUAACUCCGUGCCAGCAGCCGCGGUAAUAC
rnacentral:rRNA from 1 species